rnacentral:tRNA from 2 species
UCUGCGGUAGUCUCUAAUAGACAUCUGAUUUCGACUCAGAAGAACUUACUUAUCUAAGCCACAGCA